rnacentral:tRNA from 1 species
CUAUGGUGUAACGGUUAGCACUCUGGACUUUGAAUCCAGCGAUGGCGGUUCAAAUCCGCCUG